GCACAGAGAUCAUGUUCUGGAAAUGCCCUGAGGUGCGUCCUGCCCGGUGCAUCACUCUGUGAGAAGCUGUUACCCUGAAUGGAGUGACUGACUGGAAACUGUUGGAUAUACAGUAAGCAAGUGUGGAAUGUCUUUGGAUGUCCUGUUCAGUACAUGGGAAAGAAGAAAAGCAGGAAGAAGAGACAGGAAAAAAAUGAUCAAGAUGAAGAAUUACUUACAGUCCUCUGAGGCGAAGCCAUAUUUUCUCUAUUUGUUCCGGUUGGCUUGCUGUUCUAAAGGGCAAAAUCUAAAACCAAGGAGCUGAUUUUGUAUGGGAGUGAGGCCAGAAUCCAGACUCUCAUCUCAUCUCAUCUCAUCUCAUCUCAUCUCAUCUCAUCUCAUCUCAUCUCAUCUCAUCUCAUCUCAUCUCUUGUCCCACAUUAGCUCCUGCACAUGCAGGCUUAUCUGAGCUACCAGAUCUGGGCUACAAAAUUCCAGAGGACCACAAGAUGACAGCACAGAGAUACAAAAGAAACCUAAUCAUCCUUUUGCUGCUAUAUAAUGGUUGUAUGGGGUUUUGCGGCAUAGAUCUGGUAGCCUUAAGCCCUUUUGUUUGCAGCAAUGGUUUGUAAUAGCAGGAGAGAAGUAGGUGGCAAGGUUAAAAAUAUGUGCAUUCAACAGAAGCUGAUAAUAAUGCUGAAUGUUAAUGGCUGAAUAAUGCAGCUUAUGCCUCUAUGCUGAGUUUCCAUUUCAUAUUGUGCUUAUAGGAAGAAAGUGAAGGAUUUUCAUCAGAUUCUUUUCCAGUCUGAUAAAUAGAUGAAUUAAACUUAUAUCUUUCAGGU